rnacentral:rRNA from 1 species
GACGGAGGGUGCAAGUGUUAUCCGGAAUCACUGGGCGUAAAGGGUCUGUAGGUGGUUCGAAAAGUCCACUGUUAAAAAUUGAGGCUUAACUUCAAAGAUGCCGUGGAAACUUUCAAACUAGAGUAUGGUAGGGGUAGAGGGAAUUUCCAGUGGAGCGGUGAAAUGCGUAGAUAUUGGAAAGACCACCGAUGGCGAAGGCACUCUACUGGGCCAUUACUGACACUGAGAGACGAAAGCUAGGGGAGCAAAUGGG